UGGGGGAUAUUGCACAAUGGGCGAAAGCCUGAUGCAGCGACGCCGCGUGGGGGAUGAAGGCCUUCGGGUUGUAAACUUCUUUUGCUCUGAACAAGGCAUGCCUUUGGGGUGUGUUGAGUGUAGGGGUUGAUUAGCGCCGGCUAACUACGUGCCAGCAGCCGCGGUAAUACGUAGGGCGCGAGCGUUGUCCGGAAUUAUUGGGCGUAAAGGGCUUGUAGGUGGCUGGUUGCGUCUGUCGUGAAAGCUCAUGGCUUAACUGUGGGUUUGUGGUGGGUACGGGCUGGCUUGAGUGCAGUAGGGGAGGCUGGAAUUCCUGGUGUAGCGGUGGAAUGCGCAGAUAUCAGGAGGAAUACCGGUGGCGAAGGCGGGUCUCUGGGCUGUUACUGACGCUGAGGAGCGAAAGCGUGGGGAGCGAACAGG
rnacentral:rRNA from 1 species